UAUCUUAUCAAACUUCAUAAUUCUAAUUAAUUGAUUAAUUAAUUAAUUAUUGCUUUUUCACUUCUCAAUGUUCAGGAAUUAUGAGAAAAUCAACCCUCGAAUGUGCAGGAAUUCUACAACAUCACUAAAGAUACAUACACAAAAUCACAGUUACAAAUCUGAAAUAUUGGAGAUUCACGCUGUUGCUCUAAUUCUGCAUGUUCUCUUUGUGCCUGGGAACCCAGGUGUUAUUUUAUUCUACAAAGACUUUGUGGAGUUUCUAUAUAACCAGCUCGAGGGAAAUGCCUCUAUCACAG